rnacentral:lncRNA from 1 species
UAAGUUAUCACUUUCAGAUAUUCACAUCUUUUUUCUUUCUUUUUUACCUAACAUUAUUGAGCUGAGAUGGCUGUAAGAAGUUGUGAUACACGAUAAACGUCCACUAGGAUAAGAUCAUAACCUAAUAAAUAUGCAAACUUUACUAUUUGAUCCUAGUGCAUGAAAGAUUCCGCUUGACCACUUCAAGUCAAAGAAGAAAAGUUACCCAAAAAAUUCCAACAAAAAAAUAUUGAUAAAUAAAAAUAAAAAGAGUUGUGAAAUAUGAAUGUUUUUGUUUCCAUAUAAGACAAAACAUCUAUAUUUUUCAUUCAUUUUUUUUUGAAUAAUUCGGUGUACUCUGCUUUUCGCUGACGUGGGUCCAAACUACCACUGUUAGAGCAUCUGCAUCAAUAAAGUUUGAGAGGAGAUCAUAACUUUAAUUUUUUAUUAUUUCUUUUUUAUUUUUUUCGUUUGAUUUUUUUUUAAAAAAAAAUAAGAAGACUAAUCGCGGACCGCCACAUGGCGUGAAAUCCGCGUUACAGUGAUGAACCGAGUUCAUCCCAGUAAACCUGCAAGGACUGAGUUCAUAAAAAUGAGAAUAUUAUAAUUUUUUUUUUUUGGGAAAGGUGUGAACCUAUGCAUUGAACCCUCAAUGCAGAUGCCCUUAGAUCUGUAUCAGACCAAAACUCCGAUCCGUAUUUUCAUUCAUCUUCACUUCUUCUGUCUUCUUUCGUUUGUCGUUCUUUUAGCGAUUCACUUGCUUGCAAAGAAGAAUUUUUUUAUCUAGCUAAAGAUCUACACAUGUCUAAAAAUACAGAAAGAAAGUUAGUUCUUUCUUUUUUCUCUUUUGUGCACAGCUUCACUUAUUUUGCAUGUUAAUUAGUUCUUUGAUUUCUAAAUGCCCCGUAUUCAAUUUGUAAGAGAUAAUCCAAUAUAUUAUGUCAGAUUCUAUAGUAAAAAAGUUUAUAACUAUGGCUGAUCAUGAACUUUUAUAAAAGAUCAUCAAUUCUAAAUUUCUAACUAAUAACUGUUAAAUCAAGAA